UGUGAACGUUACCAAACUGUUGCCUCGGCGGGAUCUCUGCCCCGGGUGCGUCGCAGCCCCGGACCAAGGCGCCCGCCGGAGGACCAACCAAAACUCUUUUUGUAUACCCCCUCGCGGGUUUUUUAUAAUCUGAGCCUUCUCGGCGCCUCUCGUAGGCGUUUCGAAAAUGAAUCAAAACUUUCAACAACGGAUCUCUUGGUUCUGGCAUCGAUGAAGAACGCAGCGAAAUGCGAUAAGUAAUGUGAAUUGCAGAAUUCAGUGAAUCAUCGAAUCUUUGAACGCACAUUGCGCCCGCCAGUAUUCUGGCGGGCAUGCCUGUCCGAGCGUCAUUUCAACCCUCGAACCCCUCCGGGGGGUCGGCGUUGGGGAUCGGCCCUCCCUUAGCGGGUGGCCGUCUCCGAAAUACAGUGGCGGUCUCGCCGCAGCCUCUCCUGCGCAGUAGUUUGCACACUCGCAUCGGGAGCGCGGCGCGUCCACAGCCGUUAAACACCCAACUUCUGAAAUG
rnacentral:misc_RNA from 1 species